AUACGUAGGGGGCUAGCGUUAUCCGGAAUUACUGGGCGUAAAGGGUGCGUAGGUGGUUUCUUAAGUCAGGAGUGAAAGGCUACGGCUCAACCGUAGUAAGCUCUUGAAACUGGGAAACUUGAGUGCAGGAGAGGAAAGUGGAAUUCCUAGUGUAGCGGUGAAAUGCGUAGAUAUUGGGAGGAACACCAGUAGCGAAGGCGGCUUUCUGGACUGUAACUGACACUGAGGCAACGAAAGCGGUGGGGAGAC
rnacentral:rRNA from 1 species